rnacentral:lncRNA from 1 species
AUUAGUAUCAGUUCCCCCCCCCCCCUGAAACCCUGAGGGGGUAAAUUCCCCCCUGGUUGAGAACCCCUGCGUUAUAGUUUACAAAGCCAUCUGAGUUACUUUCUGAAAUUCUGAGUGAUAGUUUUCAAAAUGUCCACUAGUUUUUGCAAAGUGUCCUACGACAGUGGUAGAAAAUAUAACAAAUUAUGGGAAGAAAAAUUCGUCUGUGUUAGUAUAGCCAGUGAUGGAAGUGAAAAUGCUCCAGUGCCAAGGAAAAUGUUGCAGAGAUUUGAAAGUAACACCACACAUGGUGGAGCUAUUUAACUCUGUAAUCAUGUACGAGAAGGAAGAACCAGGGGACGGUGACGAACUGGACUCCACCAUUAUCAUGCUCCACCACCAUUUGAGUUUACGAUUUGGCCGUGAAGCUUGUCGUACAUGUGGCAACCCUGUUCCUAUGCGAUUUGAGUGGGAGGUGGAUGACCUUUGUAGGGUAUUUGACCUUGGCUGAAGCCUUUAUAUACAAUAUACAGAAGUGUGUGGGAGGUGGAAGAGCAUUCUUGGCUAUUUGACAUUGGCUGAAGUCUUAUAAAGUGAAGAAGAAGACGAAGAAGAAGGAGGGGGGGUCCACGACGUUGUUGCUGUCAGUUACUCGAAUCAGUUAUCUCUGGGACUCGCAAAGACUAGUUGUCAAAUUUUUCUACUUCGGCCGUGGAAAGUGUUUUUGCAAAGUGUCUUACGACAGUGGUAGAAAAUAUAACAAAUUAUGGGAAGAAAAAUUCGUCUGUGUUAGUAUAGCCCGUGAUGGAAGUGAAAAUGCUCCAGUUCCAAGGAAAAUGUUGCAGAUUUGAAAGUAACACCACACAUGGUGGAGCUAUUUAACUCUGCAAUCACGUACGAGAAGGAAGAACCAGGGGACGGUGACGAACUGGACUCCACCAUUAUCAUGCUCCACCACCAUUUGAGUUUAUGAUUUGGCAGUGAAGCUUGUCGUACAUGUGGCAACCCUGUUCCUAUGCGAUUUGAGUGGGAGGUGGAUGACCUUUGUAGGGUAUUUGACCUUGGCUGAAGCCUUUAUAUACAAUAUACAGAAGUGUGUGGGAGGUGGAAGAGCAUUCUUGGCUAUUUGACAUUGGCUGAAGUCUUAUAAAGUGUAGAAGAAGAAGGAGGGGGGUCCACGACGUUGUUGCUGUCACUUACUCGAAUCGGUUAUCUCUGGGACUCGCUAAGACUAGUUGUCAAAUUUUUCUACUUCGGCCGUGGAAAGUGAUUUGAGUGGGAGGUGGAUGACCUUUGUAGGGUAUUUGACCUUGGCUGAAGCCUUUAUAUACAAUAUACAGAAGUGUGUGGGAGGUGGAAGAGCAUUCUUGGCUAUUUGACAUUGGCUGAAGUCUUAUAAAGUGUAGAAGAAGGAGGGGGGUCCACGACGUUGUUGCUGUCACUUACUCGAAUCAGUUAUCUCUGGGACUCGCUAAGACUAGUUGUCAAAUUUUUGUACUUCGGCCGUGGAAAGUGGUUGGUCACCGCCAAACUAUUUGGCCGAAUUUUGUGUUAAUACCUCAUCUAGUGGAUUUUGAAGACAUGUCUAACAGAUUUUCAAAUUUCUCAAUUGAAACGUGUCCAGCAUAUGGGUUAAGCUUUAUAGCAGUGGUUCUCAACCUUGUUUGCUCCAUGCACUCUUUUCACCAUAUGUCAGAAUGUCAUUCCCCCCUCCUUUCCAAGAUUGUCUGCCUCAAAAAUUGCAUUCCAAAUAAUAUGCAUAUAAUACUGAAAAUCCUUUAUUAUUUCCAUAUUAGUAUCAGUUUUCCCCCGUCUCUGAAAACCUGAGGGGGGAAAUUCACCCUGGUUGAGAACCCCUGCUUUAUAGUUUACAAAGCCAUCUGAGUUACUUUCUGAAAUUCUGAUUGAUAGUUUUCAAAAUGAUUAGUUUUUGCAAAGUGUCUUACGACAGUGGUAGAAAAUAUAACAAAUUAUGGGAAGAAAAAUUCGUCUGUGUUAGUAUAGCCAGUGAUGGAAGUGAAAAUGUUCCAGUUCCAAGGAAAAUGUUGCAGAUUUGAAAGUAACACCACACAUGGUGGAGCUAUUUAACUCUGCAAUCACGUACGAGAAGGAAGAACCAGGGGACGGUGACGAACUGGACUCCACCAUUAUCAUGCUCCACCACCAUUUGAGUUUAUGAUUUGGCCGUGAAGCUUGUCGUACAUGUGGCAACCCUGUUCCUAUGCGAUUUGAGUGGGAGGUGGAUGACCUUUGUAGGGUAUUUGACCUUGGCUGAAGCCUUUAUAUACAAUAUACAGAAGUGUGUGGGAGGUGGAAGAGCAUUCUUGGCUAUUUGACAUUGGCUGAAGUCUUAUAAAGUGAAGAAGAAGAAGGAGAAGGAGGGGGGUCCACGACGUUGUUGCUGUCACUUACUCGAAUCAGUUAUCUCUGGGACUCGCUAAGACUAGUUGUCAAAUUUUUCUACUUCGGCCGUGGAAAGUGUUUUUGCAAAGUGUCUUACGACAGUGGUAGAAAAUAUAACAAAUUAUGGGAAGAAAAAUUCGUCUGUGUUAGUAUAGCCAGUGAUGGAAGUGAAAAUGCUCCAGUUCCAAGGAAAAUGUUGCAGAGAUUUGAAAGUAUCACCACACAUGGUGGAGCUAUUUAACUCUGCAAUCAUGUACGAGAAGGAAGAACCAGGGGACGGUGACGAACUGGACUCCACCAUUAUCAUGCUCCACCACCAUUUGAGUUUACGGUAAGUCUUCACUGUGGAUUACAGAUAUUAUGUUUAUGUAAUUAUUGGGCUCUGAAUUAUAAGUGAAAAUUUUGUUUUGUUGCGACAUUUUAAGUGCAUAUUGUGGGGGAGAUUUUUAUUUUGUGUGGAUUGCAAAAAUAGCUUUGUGCUUUCCAUCCAAAAAGAUUUGGCCAUGAAGCUUGUCGUACAUGUGGCAACCGUGUUCCUAUGCGGUAUGUGUUAAUUGUGGUUAAUUUCAUGUUCACGAAGAUUUAAUGUUAAAUAUUUUAAGUGUUUAUUCGGACGUACUUCACAAGAUUUGGUAUAUAUUUUG